rnacentral:lncRNA from 1 species
GUCACGACCCAAAAUUCAAUAUCGUGACCGGCGCUCGAACUAAGACAUCCUAGUCCGGCAAGCCUAUUGACGACCCUUGACAAACUAUAAUUUAAACAAUUUUCAAACUGACUUUCACUUAGAAUGAUAUACACUGAAAUUUUGACAAAGUAUUCUCUAUAUUUUGAAUACUUUCCAAGAUAUGAAUCCUGUCUAUAUACUUGUAUUAUCAGCAGAAUCCCAAAGUGACAUAACUAGAUGUUUAUACAACUCAAAACAAAACAUUUGUCGACUACCAAUAGCUGCAGAUACAUCAACCAUUCAGUUUAUACAUAGAGGAGACCUACCAAAAGAAUGACGUUGACAGAUCUUUAACUCUGCUACAAGCUUUCUACGCACUUGACUUUGAAUCUGAAAAAUGUAAGAAGAAGGGGUAAGUAAUAAAGACUUAGUGAGGAGACAACAAUCACCACCAACUAGAAGGGAAACACACAAGGGCACGAUCAUUUACUUUAUCAAAUCUAUUGUCAAUUUACAAAAAUGGUAACCGUAUAAAAUGAUAUUAAUCCGCAAUCGUUUAUACGCCUGAAAUUUACACAUGUAUAAAUAUUUUCAAUCAAGUAAGAAUAAUUCAAAAAAAAUCCAACAUCAUAAAGAGGUGAAAAUAAAGUUACAAGCCUUUAAAAAUACAUUGAUGAAAAUCUUAAUGGAUGCUUUUAAAGAAAUUAUAGAAAACUCCGUUUAGUGAAAACAAUCAACUUCAAAUAGAAUAUAAAAUCACAUUCAGUUUAAUAACACCAAAAUAAUCAACUUUAUAGAAAGUAUUGAAAUCCAACUUUAAUGAAAAUAACCAAAUGGGUGAAUCGAGAACUAGCUCCAUCUCGUUGAUAGCCCUCUCCUCCUAAUGGUGGCCUUCCUAUGGGGCGGCUCCAUCUAACGGAUAGCUCUUUUCUCUCGACUCAAAACAAAGUGUAAACAUUUUCAAUUAGGGAGUUUACAUCUCAUUGAUAGCCCUCUCCUCCUAAUGGCGGCCUUUCCAUUGGGGCGGCUCCAUCUAAUGGAGUAACUACCUAAUCGAAGUCACAUACUAGGUGCACCUAGGUCGUCGUCAUUAUAAUCGUAAUUUUCAAAACCUCAUUCUUAAAACACAUGUCUAAAACCAUAUUUCGCAACAUAACGAAACUUAUAUCAACAUACGUUCAUCAAAAUUCAAUUGAAAAUCUACCACUUGUAGUCAUAAGUAAAUCCAAAUCAAAUCCACAUCGAAUAAAUAUUAAUACCAACAUCUUUGAAAAAAAAAAAAAAAAAAAAAAAACACAAUUCCAAAACCAUGCUUUAGAACAUAUCAAAACUAGUGCACAAAAUAUAUGCAAUCAAAUCUCCAUUUCAAAUCCAAAACUUUAUAAAUCAUAAGUAGCGUCAAAGUGAGUAUAUAUUAAUAUCGAAAAUUCCCAAAAACAUAUCUCUCAAAACCGUAUUUCUCCAUAUCUCAAAACUCAUGUCAUAGUAUAUGCAAUCAAACCUCUAUUUUCAAAUCAUUUUAAUCAAUAAGUCAUAGAUAAAUCCAAAUAGAGACCAUAUUAAUAUUCACGACCUUAAACAUAAUUUCAACAACAAGAAAAAUAUUGAAAGGGUGUGUUCCCCAUUUUUUAUAAAUACUUUAACUUAUAAAAUAACCAAAAUAUCAAUAAUAACGAUAAUUAAAAUAAGUGAUAAUCGUCAUCAACUCACUGUUACGACGAAUCAACUAUGUUUGUGUGAUGAACCAGAGUGAUGAAGAGAUAGAUUAUGGGCCAGCAAUAGAUGAGCCCAGUCCACAAGGCUGGUCCAAAAGGAACAAAGUCCAACCCAAGUGGCUCAAGGACUAUGUCACCAAUGAAGGGAAAACAAGGAAAACGGCUAAGACAGCUAAUCAUCCAAGGAAGGAUCUAGAAUAGGAUGAGUCAUAGUCACAUCUGUUAAAAUAAGGCUUCAAUAGUACUAGUGUGCCAGUCUGUUAGAAUAUGCUCUUUCUCUAACAAAGGGAAAGGACUAUAUAAUGUAUUAUUGACCCAAUAAAUAAAACAGAUGAGUAUUGAAGAAAGUUGUUUUUAGUUAUUACUUCUUUUUCCUUUUCCUUAUUCUCUGAUCUUGUUCUGCUUAACAAAUUCACCAUCUUACAAUUGGUGCUUUCAUUUGUUAACCAUGUCCUCACCUCCCAAAGAUGACCUUCUCCAACGUAUCCUUCUUAGCCAACAACAAUUCCAUGAACAAAUCCUAACCCUCACCACCGAAAUGAAUCAAUGGCGAAACCGAUUCGGUCCUCUUGGAUUCACUCCAACCGGACCUGACAUUACACCACUCUCAACAACCGCCAUGAAACUCGACAUUCCACGCUUCGACGGAACCGACGCACCGGGAUGGAUCUUCAAGAUAACUCAGUUCUUCGAUUUUCAUCGAACACCAGAAGACCAACGCCUCCGCAUAGCUUCGUUUUAUAUGGAGGGUGAAGCUUUAACAUGGUUUCAAUGGAUGCACUCGAAUUCCCAAUUGCCAUCCUGGUCCGGAUUUCUCCUUGCUUUGGAAUCCAGGUUCGCUCCUUCACUCUACAAAGACCCACAAGGUGAACUUUUUAAAUUGUGUCAAACUACUACUGUCAAUGCUUAUCAAAGCCAAUUUGAAACCUUAGCAAACAGAAUCAUUGGCCUUCCCCCCAAUUUUUACCUUAGCUGCUUUGUUUAUGGACUCAAACCUGAGAUCCGGAGAGAAGUUCAAGCUUUUCAACCCAUGACUUUGACACAAGCCAUCAGCCUAGCCAAGUUACAAGAAGAGAAGAUCCUAGAUCGUUCUGUUCCUUCCAAACCCAAAUACGCCUACCCUUCAAACCCAAACACCACCACAACACCACCAUCCUCAACUUCCUUUCGUCUUACCUUAUCAGUUACACCACCAAAACCCCCUACACCCAUCAAACGAUUAUCACCAGCUGAACUUCAAGCCCGUCGAGACAAAAACCUCUGCUACAAUUGCGACGAAAAAUACACACCAGGUGUUAUACCCUAUUUUUGGACCUAAAAAUACUGGGCCCAAUUUCAUUUCAAACUUUGUCAGUUAUCAAAUUUCAACUGCACAGUUCAAUUUGUCUCUGCCUCGCAGUAUUUUCCAUCACAAUUUUACCUAUGUUUUUCUUGCAUAAAACUUUUCAAAAUGUCUUUACUUGUCUUGUAAGGCAUUCAAAAGUGUCUCUGAAUCAUUACAUUGCUUUUUCUACAGUUUAUUUCAAAAUUUGCAAAAAAGUCAUACAGAAGGGUAUUUUGGUCAUUUCCUGCAGUGGGACCCAUUUUCAUCCUUGUGACUGUCUCUGAGUCUUUUCAGAUUGUUUUUUAACAUUUCAUCAGUAAACCCUGUUAAAUUCAUUUCAAACUUGCGUCUGAGUCAGUGUUAAGUCAAUUUCAAUCUGUUUAGGUCAUUUUUAGCCCUAGGGGCAUUUUGGUCAUUUCACACAAAAUUUUGGCAUAGAGAGGUUACUUUGAAGUACCUCAUUUAGGCCGUUGGUUCGUUUUAGUCCGUUUUGUCAAUUUUAUUUUAGUUUCACUUUACGUUUUGUCAGGUUACCAAUUUUAUUCCAAUUUUAUUUUUUUAUUUUAUUUUACAUUUUGGUCCCCAAAGAGGUCCAAAAUUGCAUCCCAGUCCAAUUUUCUUUCCAAUUUACAUUUCAGUCCUUUUUGGUUAAUUGCAGUUUAGUCCUUAAAAUUCUUAUUUUUGCAGAAAGGUCCAAAUUUCAUUUUUUGUCCAAGGCCGUGCCAUUCUUUUUUUUCAGGUCCAGGUGUCACUUUCUCAUUUGUUCGGAAGCACACAUGUCAAGCUAUAAAAGGUGUACAGUGCCACACAGACCCAUUAAUCACACGCCAACUCAUAAACACAAUCAGAUUCUCUCUCUCCAUUCAGUUGGAUCAGAAACAGAAAAUUUCUCAGAAUUUCUCAAGAACACCAAGAACAAAAAACCCUAACCGUUUUCCAGAAACUCAAAAAUUCAUCAGAAUCAACAAUUUUCGCAUCAAUCCUCAGAGAUUCGUGUGAAUCUUCAUCACCGGAUUGAAGAAUUCUCCUACAAUUCAAAGUGCGAGCUCACAUUGAAGCAAGCUCAAGCACUGAUCAUAGGGAUUUUUCACGCAGAUUCAAGGAGUAUUGAAGCAAGCUCAAACACGAAAUCACAGAGAGAGAAGUAGAGGAAGAAUCAGAGAAGAUGAAGAAGCAGAACCGGUAAACCGAUUUAUUUUCGGUCCAAAAGCAAGCAAAAUCAUCAAAAUCAUCAAGAACAGAAUCAAAGUUUUCCAAAGAUUUCCUCCAUUAAAGGUUUCAACCAGAACCUUAGGUAAAACUCAUAAUCUCUUUUCAAGAAGUGUUAAUCAUAGUUUAAACCGGUAAAAAAAAUCACGCAAGCAAAACAGAUCCAAAAUUUCCAGAAUUCAAAGAAAACCGUAACCGUAAGCACGAAACCUAGAUCCGUAAGGAUCUAAGUUUUGAAAACAAGAACAAGCACCAGAGAAGCAGUAAACAACGAAACGAUGUAGAUCCGUGAAGAUCUAAACCUUUUCUUUCAAAAAAUCAAAGAAAAUCAAUUUUCAAAACCGUACGAAAUUUUCAGAUCUACAUCGCAUCAAGCUGUGUUUGGGAAAAUGAUUGCUGGAUUCGUGUUUAGGGUUAAAGGACGAAUCAAAAGACGUAAAAAUCUUUAAGUUCUGGAAAUUUUUCACCGGAAACUGCAUGAACUCACCGGAAACUGCAUGAACUCGCCGGAGAAGAUGAAGUUUCCGGCGGACCUUCAAGGUCUCCGCCGUAGCUUCAUCCUCGCCGGCGGCGAGGUUAGAGAGAGGUGGGAGAUGAGAGAAGAGAGAAGAAUUUAGAGAGAGAAAGGAAAGUGUGAAAUGAUUUAAACCGGUCCCCCUUCACUUUUAUAGCCAGUGAACCGGACCGGUCCAGAACCGGUCCAUUCCCCUUUGAUUCCUGGCCGUUUGAUCUAGGGUUUCAGGAUCCUGGAUCAAUCGUGUGGUUCCUGUGCAUCUGGACCUUGUAGUUUUGGGCUUUGGUUUGGGCUCAAGUUUCUUUUACGUUUUUUUUGCUUUUUUGCUACUUGCACCAUACUUGCCUGCUGUUUGCACCCUUUGUUCAUGUUAAUUUUUAUCAAUAAAUUCCAAGAAAUUUACCAUGUCAUUUUACUAUUUUUCUUGAUAAUUUUCAGUGGUAUUUUGCUUGGAAAAGUUGGUAAAAAUUUUAGUGUUGUUUUGUCAAGGGUUUUUACUAUUUUAAGUCACUUUUCUCGCAUUUUUACCUGUUACUUCAUGUGCAUAAUGUUCGUGUUCGUCAUGUUUGAUUUGCAUACUAUUCCAUAUGAAUUUUGCUACUGUUUGCUAUGCAUAUGUCACUGUUUUGAUGUGUUGAGUUUUGUUCUUGCAUCAUGUGCAUUAUUCAUUACAUGUUUCCGGCUUAUUUUCAUCGUCACUUUACCGUUUUAUGCCGUACUUUCUUCCAUCGCUUCAUGCCAUAUUCUUUCUUUUUUUACCAUUUUCUACUAACAUUUCCUUUCAUAUUGAUCACUUCAUAGCACUUCACCAUCUUCACUAUUGUCUCCAUUAGUUUAGUUUUCUUUUUUUGCAAAUUGUAAUUCAUUCGGUGAUGUAAUAUUUUACCAUUGGUUUGUAGCUUGGCAAAGGGGCCAUAGAAUGUAUUUAGGGAAUUUUUGUAAUAUGGACUAUGGACACUAUGACGCACUGGCACGCACACACUCACCUUAGAUGUAUGCAUAGGAUUGUAUGGUUAGAUAAGCGCUUAGGCUUAAACACUUAGAAAAAAAAUCAACUUUUCCAAGACAUGCAAAUAACCUCACUUGAAAACUUUUUAAGAAAAAAAUAAAAUGGAGUCAAAACUCCAAUAACUUUUCCCUUUUAUUUUCUUAAGUAAAAUUUUCAAUAAAUCCUAAUCCUCCUUGGACUUUACUUUUGCAAAAUGACUAAUUCCACCUCACACUUUCCAAAUCUUAUGCCCUUGAGGCCUCUCAUCUCUAUUCUUCAAAAUCUCUUUUCAAACUUAAAAUCAACCAACGAAAACAAAAACCAUUUUUGAGAAUGAACUACGAACGGUUUUGAUCCCUUAAAAGGGUACGUAGGCAAUGAGUCAAAACUCAUCCAAGCCGAAGUAAAAAUCAAAUUCUGCUUCUUCUCACCCCCAUUCUUCACUAAUCAUACCUCCCCUUUUUUUACAAAUAAGCAAUAAAAUUAAAGCGUAGAAAUAGACUUAGGAGAGCGGUUCUUAUGGAAUACCAUAAUCGCUCCGGGUGCCUAACACCUUCCCGUAGCGAAAACGACCCCCGAAUCUAGAACUUUUUAAGGGUUUUUCUCCUUUUACCCUUCCCAAGAAAAAAGAGAGAUAUCGACGGUCAAAAGGUUCAAGUCCAAUUAAUGGCUUGGCACCCAAAAACCAUGAUAACAGAAAUGGCGACUUCACUGGGGACUUUUUUUUAGCGGGUCGCGCCUAGUUUUCCUUAGUUUAUAUUUACGCUUUGUUUUAUUGCUUACAUAUGUAAAUACUUGUUUACUUUCAUUUAACGUGUGGGGUGAGAAUAUCAAAAGUCCUAUACCCGGGCUGAGUGAACUUAUGAUUAGGUAGAGAUAUAAUCGACAAUUCGAUCCGGGGGUUGCCUCGUGUAUUGGAUUAUGCGAUCAAUCUCACAUAGCUGAGACAUUUUGAAGGUGAUAUUGUCGGCGUGUGUUGUCAUGCUUAGGCACUUCACUUUCAAUUGUUCGACGAAGCUAUGAACCGUAGUUACCAAACCCAUCCUAGCCUUUUUAGGACGUAGUGCGGUGGCUAAAUUGAGUGUUGUCUCAAACUUUAGUCGUCACGCGAUACUACACUCAAACUAGACCUUCUCACAAAUAAUCAUGGAACGGGUGUCGUCCUGUACUACCAUGAUAUAUGUGAGAGAGGUUGCAGUUUGGGAACUGUGUUAGAACCUUGGUUACUACUAUCCAAAGCCUUAGUUCACCGGACGCCGUGUCCAUCCGUGGCCCUGUUACUUUGAAUCUCAACCCACCUUGUUCUUUGUAACUAAACAAAACAACCAUGCAUACAUGCAUUCAUGCAUAAGUUUUUUUUUCACGCAUACAUCGAAGAUUGUUUUAGACAGAUCGAAACAUUGUAAGACACCGCAGGUGUGAACUUGUAUUCAUAAGUUUACCAUUGUAAAACCUUAUUUUGCUUGUUUAACAGUGUUUACAAUGUUUCGAAUUUGUUUAAAAAGUCCUUCGAUGACAUUAAAAAGAGUCGUUUUUGCAUUUGCAUCUGCAUAUCAUGCAUCAUAUGCAUCAUACAUCGGUCACAAAGGCUUCCAAUUGUUCACUACUUCCUGGUUCCUCUGCCACAGUUUGAAAAGUGGCUCGUGCUCAGAAGGUCUACGAACCUGAUAGAAUCGAUCGAACCAGAGAGUACAGAAGAAGGAAAAAGGCUAUGGAAGAAGAGAACGCUCAGCUCCGUACCGAGUUAGCCACUCUAAGGGAGGAAUUGGCUAAAGCUAAUGAUGUCAUGACUGCUCUGCUAGCCGCUCAAGAACAAUCAGCUACGGCUAUCCCUAUAGCCACAGCUGCACCGGUGACUACAAGCGUGCUCCCAACCACAUCUGCAGACGCUCGCUUUGCUAUGACAGCUGGGUUUCCGUAUGGGCUUCCACCGUUCUUCACUCCCAGUACUGCAGCUGGCGUUUCUGGUACUGUCAAUAAUGGCCAGAUUCCUGGGAAGAACCAUGUCUCUGUCAAUACCACCUUGCCUCAGACAACGGCCACUCUGGAUCGAUUGAGCUAUCGGGGAACUCCCUUGGGAAUGAGCACCUUUCUGGUUAAAGCCUUCGACGGAUCCCGUAAGAACAUUCUUGGGGAGAUAGAUCUGCCAAUAACUAUCUGUCCCGAAACCUUUCUGAUCACGUUCCAGGUCAUGGACAUCAAUGCUGCUCAGCUACCUCCGUCGUACACGUAUGCGCAAUACUCUCAGCAUCCCUUCUUUCCACCAUUCUAUCAUCAGUACCCUCUGCCACCGGGUCAACCUCAAGUGCCCGUCAAUGCAAUCGCCCAACAGAUGAAACAACAGUUGCCGGUUCAACAACAACAACAAAAUCAGCAAGCCAGACCUACUUUCCCUCCGAUACCGAUGUUAUAUGCUGAGUUGCUUCCAACUUUACUCCAAAGAGGGCAUUGUACAACUAGACAGGGUAAGCCCCCACCUGAUCCGUUGCCUCCAAGGUUCAGGUCUGAUCUCAAAUGUGACUUUCAUCAAGGUGCCUUAGGUCAUGAUGUCGAGGGGUGUUAUGCUUUGAAGUAUAUCGUGAAGAAGCUCAUUGAUCAAGGGAAGCUGACUUUUGAGAACAACGUCCCUCAUGUCGUCGACAAUCCUCUUCCGAAUCACGCUGCUGUAAACAUGAUUGAGGUAUAUGAGGAAGCUCCCAGAUCGGACGUUUGUAACGUUGCAACUCCUCUGGUGCCACUACACAUCGAGUUAUGCCAAGCCUCUCUGUUUGACCAUGAUCAUGCCAGUUGCCCAGAAUGCUUCCAUAAUCCUUGGGGUUGCUACGUUGUUCAGAAUGACAUCCAGAAACUGAUGAACGACAAUUAUCUGACUGUCAAUGACAUCCAAGAAGGACAAGCUGCUGGCUGGGGCAAGUUAAUACAACUCCUUGAGAAUAAGCAUAAAGAGGGUCUCGGAUAUUCCCCAACUUCAGGAGUCUCCACAUGAAUCUUCUACAGUGCUGAGUUUAUCAAUGCAAUUACUGAAGAGGCGACUGGAUGUAGUCCUAGGCCUAUGUUUGUUAUACCAGGAGGCAUUGCGAGAAAUUGUGAUGCCAUCAACAUUCAUUCAAUCAUGCAUGUUUCCGAAUAAUGUGUCUUGUUGCUUAAGUGUUUUGUUUUUCAAAAUAACCAUCCUCUCGCUCUGCCCGAAGCGAAAGUGAUAUUUCUGGAAGGGCGUGUUUGUUUCGGCAUCGCCGUUAUUAACAAAAAUCGUCGUUUCUUUCACGACUUUUAUUUUUUAGUGAUUUUUUUUUUUUCUUUUUUUCUUGGAAAUAAUGGUAAUACCAGAAAAAACCAAAACAUCUUUAUUUUUCUUAUCAAUUUCAAAGAACUGCAUAAAAGAGAAAAAAAAAAAACCAUUUUCUAAAAUCAUUCAACCAUUCUAUGCAGUUUGAACCAUAAUAAACCCGUUGAACACAGUAAUCCUACGGUUCCUCCAAAUUUUGAAUUCCCUGUGUAUGAAGCCGAAGAUGAAGAGGAUGAUGAUGUACCAUAUGAGAUCACUCGACUGCUUGAGCAAGAAUCAGCCUAUUGUAUGGAACGAUGAAUGCCAAGAAGCUUUUGAUAGCAUCAAGAAUUACCUGCUGGAACCACCUAUCCUUGUCCCACCCGUGGAAGGAAGGCCUUUGAUCAUGUAUUUGGCAGUAUUUGAUGAAUCCAUGGGAUGCGUGCUUGGUCAACAAGAUGAAACUGGAAAGAAAGAGCAUGCUAUCUACUAUCUGAGCAAGAAGUUCACCGACUGUGAAACUCGGUAUACAAUGCUUGAGAAGACUUGUUGUGCCCUAGCUUGGGCUGCCAAACGCCUGCGUCAUUAUUUGGUGAAUCAUACAACUUGGUUGAUAUCCAGAAUGGAUCCGAUAAAGUAUAUCUUUGAGAAAGCUGCUGUUACUGGAAAGAUUGCACGCUGGCAGAUGCUUUUGUCUGAGUAUGAUAUUGUGUUCAAAACUCAAAAGGCAAUCAAAGGUAGCAUUCUUGCCGAUCACCUUGCUUAUCAACCUCUUGAUGAUUAUCAACCAAUUGAGUUCGAUUUCCCCGAUGAAGAGAUCAUGUAUUUGAAAUCAAAAGACUGCGAAGAACCGUUGAUUAAUGAAGGUCCAGAUCCCAAUAGCAGGUGGGGUUUAGUCUUUGAUGGUGCUGUCAAUGCUUAUGGUAAAGGAAUUGGGGCAGUCAUUGUAUCCCCGCAGGGGCAUCAUAUUCCUUUUACCGCCCGAAUUUUGUUUGAAUGUACCAACAACAUGGCUGAGUAUGAAGCAUGUAUCUUCGGGAUCGAGGAAGCAAUUGACAUGAGAAUCAAGCACCUCGACAUCUAUGGAGAUUCGGCGCUCGUCAUCAAUCAGAUAAAGGGUGAAUGGGAGACCCAUCAUGCUAAGUUGAUUCCUUAUCGGGAUUAUGCGAGACGUCUUCUGACAUAUUUUACAAAGGUUGAGCUGCACCAUAUUCCUCGUGAUGAGAACCAAAUGGCUGAUGCUCUUGCUACUCUAUCCUCCAUGUUUCGAGUAAACCAUUGGAAUGAUGUGCCAGUAAUCAAAGUGCAGCGCCUUGAAAGACCUUCACAUGUGUUUGCUAUUGGGGAUGUGAUCGAUCAGGCUGGUGAAAAUGUGGUUGACUAUAGACCCUGGUACUACGACAUCAAACAGUUCUUGCUGAGCCGUGAGUAUCCGUCGGGUGCUUCCAAACAAGAUAAGAAGACCCUGAGAAGAUUGGCCAGUAGAUUCCUGUUAGAUGGAGAUAUUCUGUACAAGAGAAACUAUGACAUGGUAUUGUUAAGAUGUGUUGAUGAACACGAGGCAGAGCAGUUAAUGCAUGAUGUACAUGACGGUACCUUCGGGACCCAUGCUACAGGGCAUACUAUGUCAAGGAAGUUGUUACGAGCAGGUUACUACUGGAUGGCCAUGGAGCAUGAUUGCUACCAGUACGCCAGAAAAUGCCACAAAUGUCAAAUCUAUGCUGAUAAGAUUCAUGUGCCUCCGCACGCUCUCAAUGUUAUGUCAUCCCCAUGGCCGUUCUCAAUGUGGGGCAUCGACAUGAUUGGAAGAAUUGAACCGAAAGCUUCAAAUGGUCAUCGUUUCAUCUUAGUGGCAAUUGACUACUUUACCAAGUGGGUUGAAGCAGCAUCUUAUACCAAUGUGACCAAGCAAGUGGUAGCUAAGUUCAUCAAGAACAACAUCAUUUGUCGAUAUGGUGUUCCCAGCAAGAUUAUUACCGACAAUGGUACCAACCUGAAUAACAAUGUGGUGCAAGCUCUUUGUGAAGAAUUCAAAAUUGAGCAUCAUAACUCUUCUCCCUAUAGACCUCAGAUGAAUGGUGCAGUUGAGGCCGCCAACAAGAAUAUCAAGAGAAUUGUCCAGAAGAUGGUAACCACUUACAAGGACUGGCAUGAGAUGUUACCCUAUGCUCUGCAUGGCUACCGUACUACCAUGCGCAGUUCAACCGGGGCAACCCCUUUCUCUCUUGUAUAUGGUAUGGAAGCAGUUCUUCCUUUGGAAGUGGAGAUCCCAUCUCUCCGUGUGAUCAUGGAAGCAAAGUUAUCUGAGGCUGAAUGGUGCCAAAGCCGGUAUGAUCAGUUGAAUUUGAUUGAGGAAAAAACGUAUGGAUGCCAUGGCUCGUGGACAGUCAUAUCAAGCAAGAAUGAAGACUGCCUUUGACAAGAAAGUCCAUCCUCGAGAAUUCAAGGUAGGGGAACUGGUAUUGAAAAGGAGGGUAAGCCAGCAACCCGACCCAAGGGGCAAGUGGACGCCUAACUAUGAAGGUCCUUAUGUUGUCAAGAAGGCCUUCUCCGGUGGUGCUUUAAUCCUUACGCACAUGGAUGGUGUAGAACUUCCAAAUCCAGUGAAUGCCGAUAUAGUCAAGAAAUACUUUGCCUAGAAAUAUGAAAAGAACAGCGUGGUAGGUCGAAAACCCGAAAGGGCGGCCUAGGCAAAAAUGCGCUUCCCGGUGGAUCGAAAACCCGAAAGGGCGGUCCAGGCAAAAAUAAGGGACAAAACAAAUAUGAAAAGCUCGCUGAGAUUGUACGCAACUCAGGCAAGAAUGAGCGUCUCGAUGAGCCGAAAACCCGAAAGGGCGGUUCAUGCAAAAAUGAGAUUGAAACAAAAGGCAAGUAACUAUAUCUGGCCAACCACCGUCCCCCUUGGGGCAUCUGCUGCCGUUGAUGACUAUCUUCAUCUAAAGCUCCUACGCUUGCGAAUUCAAAGUUUUCAGGAAAUGUAAUGAUUGCUGUGUUCAAUGUACCACCAACCAAUAAAAUUACCAUUUUCCAAGCUUUGUGAAUCCGUGGAGUCAUGCCUUUGGCUGACCACCACUCUUAUACAUCAAUUUGAGCCUUUGCUUUUGUUUGAAAACUCUAUUUUUUCUUCUACUUUCAAAGCUAUAUACAAAACAUUUUCUUUCUAUUUUGAUAAUGACAAUGCUUGAAACAAACAUUUUGAAAAUUGAAAACUUUUUGUCUAUUUUGAAAAGCAAACCUGAGCAACAGGGUACAUUCAAAUGAAACAUGCAUGAGUGAGAGUAUGUUGAUGUCUAUUUCAAUAUGUGUUACAAGCAGGUUCUCCUCCAGGAUAGUCUGUGGUCAAUGGCAAGAAUGAAAAAACAGAAUGAAAAUGCAUGAAAAUGAAAAGGCUCGCUAAGUUGAAAACCCGGAAGGGCGGCUUAGGCAAGAAUGAGCACCCCGCUGGAUUGAAAACCCGAAAGGGCAGUUCAGGCAAAAAUGGGGCAUUGAAAAGAAUUUAUUUCCCCGGUGGAUCGAAAACCCGAAAGGGCGAUCCAGGCAAAAAUGGGAUGCAAAAAAUGAAUGAAUGAAAUUGAGAAUAUAACAUGCAAAAAGCAUUGACCACAGAUGCAAUGUCUACAACAUGCCCAGCACAACGGCAUUUUCCCCAGUCAGGUCUUCCAAGAUUCUAUCUCCAGCAAGUUGCAUAUCUACCUGCCCUCAGCUAUGGUUCCGACACGUCUCCCAACGACGUCAUCUCCAAAGAGGAUUUCCAAGAAUGUGUAAUAUAGCACGAGCCACUACGUGCCCAAUACUCUAAUGUCUUGCCUUCCCCGUGAAGCCGUGCCUACAAACUGCCAACAGUCAUGCAUUACAAGCAUUCAUACAUGCAUAAUCAUGCAUAUUGCGUACCCAUGCAUUUAAUGAAACUGUUAUAUCAUCCAUGCAUAUCGCAUUUCCAAUGUCAACAUCAGUCUCAAUUUCUACCUUUCAAAUCAAAUCGACGUCAAGUCAAUCUCAAUCUAUAUUUUGUCAAACAAACUAAUCCCCAGUGAAUAUGUUUCUGUUUGGUCAAGUGGCUAGUUCAAGUCCAAGAACAGCUUGUACCUAUCAAUUUGCUUAUGUUAUCGGUCGAGUGCCCAGCUCAAUCCAAGAGCAGCUUGUACCUGUCAAUAUGUUUCCGUUUGGUCAAGUGACUAGCUCAAUCCAAGAGCAGCUUGUACCUAUCUAUCUGUUUGUCUCCGGUGGAGUAACCAGUUCGCAUCCAAGAACAAGCUCGCACCUGUCUAUUUGCCUUGCUUUCAGUCGAGUAACCAGUUCGAAUCCUUAAGAACAACUCGUACCUGCCAAUUUUACAUGUUUUCAGUCGAGUCACCAGUUCGAAUCCAUAAGAACAACUCGUACUUGUCAAUUUUCUCUUUUUCCAGUCGAGUCACCAGUUCGAAUCCAUAAGAACAACUCGCACUUUCCAAUAUCCCCAAGUGAGUUACCAGUUCGAAUCCAUAAGAACAACUCAUGUUUGUCCAGUAACCUCUAUCCCCUGUGAAGUGACCAGUUCGAAUCCGUAAGAACAACUCGCAGUUGUCUGUUUGUUUCAUUCCCGGUCAAGUGGCUAGUUCGAAUCCAAGAGCAGCUUGUACCUGUCCAACUUGUUUCCAGUUUCCCGUUACUCUGCUAUUCACUAUCUUUGUCAAUGUCUACCAAUCCCGCAAUGGAUACGACAUAUUUUGUUAAUUCCAAUCCCCAUGAGGUCUUGCAUUCAUAAUCCAAAUGAUGCAUGGCAUGCAUAUUAUUUGAAAAUGGGAUAGGCGUAUUUUUACGUCCAAACACAGUGCAAAUUGCUAAUAUUUAAGUAUCUUCGUCCUGUCAAGCCAAAGACUCCGUCUCUUGACUGUCCAGACAAAGAAACUUAAAUAGGGGCAGGUGUUAUACCCUGUUUUUGGACCUAAAAAUACUGGGCCCAAUUUCAUUUCAAACUUUGUCAGUUAUCAAAUUUCAACUGCACAGUUCAAUUUGUCUCUGCCUCGCAGUAUUUUCCAUCACAAUUUUACCUAUGUUUUUCUUGCAUAAAACUUUUCAAAAUGUCUUUACUUGUCUUGUAAGGCAUUCAAAAGUGUCUCUGAAUCAUUACAUUGCUUUUUCUACAGUUUAUUUCAAAAUUUGCAAAAAAGUCAUACAGAAGGGUAUUUUGGUCAUUUCCUGCAGUGGGACCCAUUUUCAUCCUUGUGACUGUCUCUGAGUCUUUUCAGAUUGUUUUUUAACAUUUCAUCAGUAAACCCUGUUAAAUUCAUUUCAAACUUGCGUCUGAGUCAGUGUUAAGUCAAUUUCAAUCUGUUUAGGUCAUUUUUAGCCCUAGGGGCAUUUUGGUCAUUUCACACAAAAUUUUGGUAUAGAGAGGUUACUUUGAAGUACCUCAUUUAGGCCGUUGGUUCGUUUUAGUCCGUUUUGUCAAUUUUAUUUUAGUUUCACUUUACGUUUUGUCAGGUUACCAAUUUUAUUCCAAUUUUAUUUUUUUAUUUUAUUUUACAUUUUGGUCCCCAAAGAGGUCCAAAAUUGCAUCCCAGUCCAAUUUUCUUUCCAAUUUACAUUUCAGUCCUUUUUGGUUAAUUGCAGUUUAGUCCUUAAAAUUCUUAUUUUUGCAGAAAGGUCCAAAUUUCAUUUUUUGUCCAAGGCCGUGCCAUUCUUUUUUUUCAGGUCCAGGUGUCACUUUCUCAUUUGUUCGGAAGCACACAUGUCAAGCUAUAAAAGGUGUACAGUGCCACACAGACCCAUUAAUCACACGCCAACUCAUAAACACAAUCAGAUUCUCUCUCUCCAUUCAGUUGGAUCAGAAACAGAAAAUUUCUCAGAAUUUCUCAAGAACACCAAGAACAAAAAACCCUAACCGUUUUCCAGAAACUCAAAAAUUCAUCAGAAUCAACAAUUUUCGCAUCAAUCCUCAGAGAUUCGUGUGAAUCUUCAUCACCGGAUUGAAGAAUUCUCCUACAAUUCAAAGUGCGAGCUCACAUUGAAGCAAGCUCAAGCACUGAUCAUAGGGAUUUUUCACGCAGAUUCAAGGAGUAUUGAAGCAAGCUCAAACACGAAAUCACAGAGAGAGAAGUAGAGGAAGAAUCAGAGAAGAUGAAGAAGCAGAACCGGUAAACCGAUUUAUUUUCGGUCCAAAAGCAAGCAAAAUCAUCAAAAUCAUCAAGAACAGAAUCAAAGUUUUCCAAAGAUUUCCUCCAUUAAAGGUUUCAACCAGAACCUUAGGUAAAACUCAUAAUCUCUUUUCAAGAAGUGUUAAUCAUAGUUUAAACCGGUAAAAAAAAUCACGCAAGCAAAACAGAUCCAAAAUUUCCAGAAUUCAAAGAAAACCGUAACCGUAAGCACGAAACCUAGAUCCGUAAGGAUCUAAGUUUUGAAAACAAGAACAAGCACCAGAGAAGCAGUAAACAACGAAACGAUGUAGAUCCGUGAAGAUCUAAACCUUUUCUUUCAAAAAAUCAAAGAAAAUCAAUUUUCAAAACCGUACGAAAUUUUCAGAUCUACAUCGCAUCAAGCUGUGUUUGGGAAAAUGAUUGCUGGAUUCGUGUUUAGGGUUAAAGGACGAAUCAAAAGACGUAAAAAUCUUUAAGUUCUGGAAAUUUUUCACCGGAAACUGCAUGAACUCACCGGAAACUGCAUGAACUCGCCGGAGAAGAUGAAGUUUCCGGCGGACCUUCAAGGUCUCCGCCGUAGCUUCAUCCUCGCCGGCGGCGAGGUUAGAGAGAGGUGGGAGAUGAGAGAAGAGAGAAGAAUUUAGAGAGAGAAAGGAAAGUGUGAAAUGAUUUAAACCGGUCCCCCUUCACUUUUAUAGCCAGUGAACCGGACCGGUCCAGAACCGGUCCAUUCCCCUUUGAUUCCUGGCCGUUUGAUCUAGGGUUUCAGGAUCCUGGAUCAAUCGUGUGGUUCCUGUGCAUCUGGACCUUGUAGUUUUGGGCUUUGGUUUGGGCUCAAGUUUCUUUUACGUUUUUUUUGCUUUUUUGCUACUUGCACCAUACUUGCCUGCUGUUUGCACCCUUUGUUCAUGUUAAUUUUUAUCAAUAAAUUCCAAGAAAUUUACCAUGUCAUUUUACUAUUUUUCUUGAUAAUUUUCAGUGGUAUUUUGCUUGGAAAAGUUGGUAAAAAUUUUAGUGUUGUUUUGUCAAGGGUUUUUACUAUUUUAAGUCACUUUUCUCGCAUUUUUACCUGUUACUUCAUGUGCAUAAUGUUCGUGUUCGUCAUGUUUGAUUUGCAUACUAUUCCAUAUGAAUUUUGCUACUGUUUGCUAUGCAUAUGUCACUGUUUUGAUGUGUUGAGUUUUGUUCUUGCAUCAUGUGCAUUAUUCAUUACAUGUUUCCGGCUUAUUUUCAUCGUCACUUUACCGUUUUAUGCCGUACUUUCUUCCAUCGCUUCAUGCCAUAUUCUUUCUUUUUUUACCAUUUUCUACUAACAUUUCCUUUCAUAUUGAUCACUUCAUAGCACUUCACCAUCUUCACUAUUGUCUCCAUUAGUUUAGUUUUCUUUUUUUGCAAAUUGUAAUUCAUUCGGUGAUGUAAUAUUUUACCAUUGGUUUGUAGCUUGGCAAAGGGGCCAUAGAAUGUAUUUAGGGAAUUUUUGUAAUAUGGACUAUGGACACUAUGACGCACUGGCACGCACACACUCACCUUAGAUGUAUGCAUAGGAUUGUAUGGUUAGAUAAGCGCUUAGGCUUAAACACUUAGAAAAAAAAUCAACUUUUCCAAGACAUGCAAAUAACCUCACUUGAAAACUUUUUAAGAAAAAAAUAAAAUGGAGUCAAAACUCCAAUAACUUUUCCCUUUUAUUUUCUUAAGUAAAAUUUUCAAUAAAUCCUAAUCCUCCUUGGACUUUACUUUUGCAAAAUGACUAAUUCCACCUCACACUUUCCAAAUCUUAUGCCCUUGAGGCCUCUCAUCUCUAUUCGUCAAAAUCUCUUUUCAAACUUAAAAUCAACCAACGAAAACAAAAACCAUUUUUGAGAAUGAACUACGAACGGUUUUGAUCCCUUAAAAGGGUACGUAGGCAAUGAGUCAAAACUCAUCCAAGCCGAAGUAAAAAUCAAAUUCUGCUUCUUCUCACCCCCAUUCUUCACUAAUCAUACCUCCCCUUUUUUUACAAAUAAGCAAUAAAAUUAAAGCGUAGAAAUAGACUUAGGAGAGCGGUUCUUAUGGAAUACCAUAAUCGCUCCGGGUGCCUAACACCUUCCCGUAGCGAAAACGACCCCCGAAUCUAGAACUUUUUAAGGGUUUUUCUCCUUUUACCCUUCCCAAGAAAAAAGAGAGAUAUCGACGGUCAAAAGGUUCAAGUCCAAUUAAUGGCUUGGCACCCAAAAACCAUGAUAACAGAAAUGGCGACUUCACUGGGGACUUUUUUUUAGCGGGUCGCGCCUAGUUUUCCUUAGUUUAUAUUUACGCUUUGUUUUAUUGCUUACAUAUGUAAAUACUUGUUUACUUUCAUUUAACGUGUGGGGUGAGAAUAUCAAAAGUCCUAUACCCGGGCUGAGUGAACUUAUGAUUAGGUAGAGAUAUAAUCGACAAUUCGAUCCGGGGGUUGCCUCGUGUAUUGGAUUAUGCGAUCAAUCUCACAUAGCUGAGACAUUUUGAAGGUGAUAUUGUCGGCGUGUGUUGUCAUGCUUAGGCACUUCACUUUCAAUUGUUCGACGAAGCUAUGAACCGUAGUUACCAAACCCAUCCUAGCCUUUUUAGGACGUAGUGCGGUGGCUAAAUUGAGUGUUGUCUCAAACUUUAGUCGUCACGCGAUACUACACUCAAACUAGACCUUCUCACAAAUAAUCAUGGAACGGGUGUCGUCCUGUACUACCAUGAUAUAUGUGAGAGAGGUUGCAGUUUGGGAACUGUGUUAGAACCUUGGUUACUACUAUCCAAAGCCUUAGUUCACCGGACGCCGUGUCCAUCCGUGGCCCUGUUACUUUGAAUCUCAACCCACCUUGUUCUUUGUAACUAAACAAAACAACCAUGCAUACAUGCAUUCAUGCAUAAGUUUUUUUUUCACGCAUACAUCGAAGAUUGUUUUAGACAGAUCGAAACAUUGUAAGACACCGCAGGUGUGAACUUGUAUUCAUAAGUUUACCAUUGUAAAACCUUAUUUUGCUUGUUUAACAGUGUUUACAAUGUUUCGAAUUUGUUUAAAAAGUCCUUCGAUGACAUUAAAAAGAGUCGUUUUUGCAUUUGCAUCUGCAUAUCAUGCAUCAUAUGCAUCAUACAUCGGUCACAAAGGCUUCCAAUUGUUCACUACUUCCUGGUUCCUCUGCCACAGUUUGAAAAGUGGCUCGUGCUCAGAAGGUCUACGAACCUGAUAGAAUCGAUCGACCCAGAGAGUACAGAAGAAGGAAAAAGGCUAUGGAAGAAGAGAACGCUCAGCUCCGUACCGAGUUAGCCACUCUAAGGGAGGAAUUGGCUAAAGCUAAUGAUGUCAUGACUGCUCUGCUAGCCGCUCAAGAACAAUCAGCUACGGCUAUCCCUAUAGCCACAGCUGCACCGGUGACUACAAGCGUGCUCCCAACCACAUCUGCAGACGCUCGCUUUGCUAUGACAGCUGGGUUUCCGUAUGGGCUUCCACCGUUCUUCACUCCCAGUACUGCAGCUGGCGUUUCUGGUACUGUCAAUAAUGGCCAGAUUCCUGGGAAGAACCAUGUCUCUGUCAAUACCACCUUGCCUCAGACAACGGCCACUCUGGAUCGAUUGAGCUAUCGGGGAACUCCCUUGGGAAUGAGCACCUUUCUGGUUAAAGCCUUCGACGGAUCCCGUAAGAACAUUCUUGGGGAGAUAGAUCUGCCAAUAACUAUCUGUCCCGAAACCUUUCUGAUCACGUUCCAGGUCAUGGACAUCAAUGCUGCUCAGCUACCUCCGUCGUACACGUAUGCGCAAUACUCUCAGCAUCCCUUCUUUCCACCAUUCUAUCAUCAGUACCCUCUGCCACCGGGUCAACCUCAAGUGCCCGUCAAUGCAAUCGCCCAACAGAUGAAACAACAGUUGCCGGUUCAACAACAACAACAAAAUCAGCAAGCCAGACCUACUUUCCCUCCGAUACCGAUGUUAUAUGCUGAGUUGCUUCCAACUUUACUCCAAAGAGGGCAUUGUACAACUAGACAGGGUAAGCCCCCACCUGAUCCGUUGCCUCCAAGGUUCAGGUCUGAUCUCAAAUGUGACUUUCAUCAAGGUGCCUUAGGUCAUGAUGUCGAGGGGUGUUAUGCUUUGAAGUAUAUCGUGAAGAAGCUCAUUGAUCAAGGGAAGCUGACUUUUGAGAACAACGUCCCUCAUGUCGUCGACAAUCCUCUUCCGAAUCACGCUGCUGUAAACAUGAUUGAGGUAUAUGAGGAAGCUCCCAGAUCGGACGUUUGUAACGUUGCAACUCCUCUGGUGCCACUACACAUCGAGUUAUGCCAAGCCUCUCUGUUUGACCAUGAUCAUGCCAGUUGCCCAGAAUGCUUCCAUAAUCCUUGGGGUUGCUACGUUGUUCAGAAUGACAUCCAGAAACUGAUGAACGACAAUUAUCUGACUGUCAAUGACAUCCAAGAAGGACAAGCUGCUGGCUGGGGCAAGUUAAUACAACUCCUUGAGAAUAAGCAUAAAGAGGGUCUCGGAUAUUCCCCAACUUCAGGAGUCUCCACAUGAAUCUUCUACAGUGCUGAGUUUAUCAAUGCAAUUACUGAAGAGGCGACUGGAUGUAGUCCUAGGCCUAUGUUUGUUAUACCAGGAGGCAUUGCGAGAAAUUGUGAUGCCAUCAACAUUCAUUCAAUCAUGCAUGUUUCCGAAUAAUGUGUCUUGUUGCUUAAGUGUUUUGUUUUUCAAAAUAACCAUCCUCUCGCUCUGCCCGAAGCGAAAGUGAUAUUUCUGGAAGGGCGUGUUUGUUUCGGCAUCGCCGUUAUUAACAAAAAUCGUCGUUUCUUUCACGACUUUUAUUUUUUAGUGAUUUUUUUUUUUUAUUUUUUUCUUGGAAAUAAUGGUAAUACCAGAAAAAACCAAAACAUCUUUAUUUUUCUUAUCAAUUUCAAAGAACUGCAUAAAAGAGAAAAAAAAAAAACCAUUUUCUAAAAUCAUUCAACCAUUCUAUGCAGUUUGAACCAUAAUAAACCCGUUGAACACAGUAAUCCUACGGUUCCUCCAAAUUUUGAAUUCCCUGUGUAUGAAGCCGAAGAUGAAGAGGAUGAUGAUGUACCAUAUGAGAUCACUCGACUGCUUGAGCAAGAAUCAGCCUAUUGUAUGGAACGAUGAAUGCCAAGAAGCUUUUGAUAGCAUCAAGAAUUACCUGCUGGAACCACCUAUCCUUGUCCCACCCGUGGAAGGAAGGCCUUUGAUCAUGUAUUUGGCAGUAUUUGAUGAAUCCAUGGGAUGCGUGCUUGGUCAACAAGAUGAAACUGGAAAGAAAGAGCAUGCUAUCUACUAUCUGAGCAAGAAGUUCACCGACUGUGAAACUCGGUAUACAAUGCUUGAGAAGACUUGUUGUGCCCUAGCUUGGGCUGCCAAACGCCUGCGUCAUUAUUUGGUGAAUCAUACAACUUGGUUGAUAUCCAGAAUGGAUCCGAUAAAGUAUAUCUUUGAGAAAGCUGCUGUUACUGGAAAGAUUGCACGCUGGCAGAUGCUUUUGUCUGAGUAUGAUAUUGUGUUCAAAACUCAAAAGGCAAUCAAAGGUAGCAUUCUUGCCGAUCACCUUGCUUAUCAACCUCUUGAUGAUUAUCAACCAAUUGAGUUCGAUUUCCCCGAUGAAGAGAUCAUGUAUUUGAAAUCAAAAGACUGCGAAGAACUGUUGAUUAAUGAAGGUCCAGAUCCCAAUAGCAGGUGGGGUUUAGUCUUUGAUGGUGCUGUCAAUGCUUAUGGUAAAGGAAUUGGGGCAGUCAUUGUAUCCCCGCAGGGGCAUCAUAUUCCUUUUACCGCCCGAAUUUUGUUUGAAUGUACCAACAACAUGGCUGAGUAUGAAGCAUGUAUCUUCGGGAUCGAGGAAGCAAUUGACAUGAGAAUCAAGCACCUCGACAUCUAUGGAGAUUCGGCGCUCGUCAUCAAUCAGAUAAAGGGUGAAUGGGAGACCCAUCAUGCUAAGUUGAUUCCUUAUCGGGAUUAUGCGAGACGUCUUCUGACAUAUUUUACAAAGGUUGAGCUGCACCAUAUUCCUCGUGAUGAGAACCAAAUGGCUGAUGCUCUUGCUACUCUAUCCUCCAUGUUUCGAGUAAACCAUUGGAAUGAUGUGCCAGUAAUCAAAGUGCAGCGCCUUGAAAGACCUUCACAUGUGUUUGCUAUUGGGGAUGUGAUCGAUCAGGCUGGUGAAAAUGUGGUUGACUAUAGACCCUGGUACUACGACAUCAAACAGUUCUUGCUGAGCCGUGAGUAUCCGUCGGGUGCUUCCAAACAAGAUAAGAAGACCCUGAGAAGAUUGGCCAGUAGAUUCCUGUUAGAUGGAGAUAUUCUGUACAAGAGAAACUAUGACAUGGUAUUGUUAAGAUGUGUUGAUGAACACGAGGCAGAGCAGUUAAUGCAUGAUGUACAUGACGGUACCUUCGGGACCCAUGCUACAGGGCAUACUAUGUCAAGGAAGUUGUUACGAGCAGGUUACUACUGGAUGGCCAUGGAGCAUGAUUGCUACCAGUACGCCAGAAAAUGCCACAAAUGUCAAAUCUAUGCUGAUAAGAUUCAUGUGCCUCCGCACGCUCUCAAUGUUAUGUCAUCCCCAUGGCCGUUCUCAAUGUGGGGCAUCGACAUGAUUGGAAGAAUUGAACCGAAAGCUUCAAAUGGUCAUCGUUUCAUCUUAGUGGCAAUUGACUACUUUACCAAGUGGGUUGAAGCAGCAUCUUAUACCAAUGUGACCAAGCAAGUGGUAGCUAAGUUCAUCAAGAACAACAUCAUUUGUCGAUAUGGUGUUCCCAGCAAGAUUAUUACCGACAAUGGUACCAACCUGAAUAACAAUGUGGUGCAAGCUCUUUGUGAAGAAUUCAAAAUUGAGCAUCAUAACUCUUCUCCCUAUAGACCUCAGAUGAAUGGUGCAGUUGAGGCCGCCAACAAGAAUAUCAAGAGAAUUGUCCAGAAGAUGGUAACCACUUACAAGGACUGGCAUGAGAUGUUACCCUAUGCUCUGCAUGGCUACCGUACUACCAUGCGCAGUUCAACCGGGGCAACCCCUUUCUCUCUUGUAUAUGGUAUGGAAGCAGUUCUUCCUUUGGAAGUGGAGAUCCCAUCUCUCCGUGUGAUCAUGGAAGCAAAGUUAUCUGAGGCUGAAUGGUGCCAAAGCCGGUAUGAUCAGUUGAAUUUGAUUGAGGAAAAAACGUAUGGAUGCCAUGGCUCGUGGACAGUCAUAUCAAGCAAGAAUGAAGACUGCCUUUGACAAGAAAGUCCAUCCUCGAGAAUUCAAGGUAGGGGAACUGGUAUUGAAAAGGAGGGUAAGCCAGCAACCCGACCCAAGGGGCAAGUGGACGCCUAACUAUGAAGGUCCUUAUGUUGUCAAGAAGGCCUUCUCCGGUGGUGCUUUAAUCCUUACGCACAUGGAUGGUGUAGAACUUCCAAAUCCAGUGAAUGCCGAUAUAGUCAAGAAAUACUUUGCCUAGAAAUAUGAAAAGAACAGCGUGGUAGGUUGAAAACCCGAAAGGGCGGCCUAGGCAAAAAUGCGCUUCCCGGUGGAUCGAAAACCCGAAAGGGCGGUCCAGGCAAAAAUAAGGGACAAAACAAAUAUGAAAAGCUCGCUGAGAUUGUACGCAACUCAGGCAAGAAUGAGCGUCUCGAUGAGCCGAAAACCCGAAAGGGCGGUUCAUGCAAAAAUGAGAUUGAAACAAAAGGCAAGUAACUAUAUCUGGCCAACCACCGUCCCCCUUGGGGCAUCUGCUGCCGUUGAUGACUAUCUUCAUCUAAAGCUCCUACGCUUGCGAAUUCAAAGUUUCCAGGAAAUGUAAUGAUUGCUGUGUUCAAUGUACCACCAACCAAUAAAAUUACCAUUUUCCAAGCUUUGUGAAUCCGUGGAGUCAUGCCUUUGGCUGACCACCACUCUUAUACAUCAAUUUGAGCCUUUGCUUUUGUUUGAAAACUCUAUUUUUUCUUCUACUUUCAAAGCUAUAUACAAAACAUUUUCUUUCUAUUUUGAUAAUGACAAUGCUUGAAACAAACAUUUUGAAAAUUGAAAACUUUUUGUCUAUUUUGAAAAGCAAACCUGAGCAACAGGGUACAUUCAAAUGAAACAUGCAUGAGUGAGAGUAUGUUGAUGUCUAUUUCAAUAUGUGUUACAAGCAGGUUCUCCUCCAGGAUAGUCUGUGGUCAAUGGCAAGAAUGAAAAAACAGAAUGAAAAUGCAUGAAAAUGAAAAGGCUCGCUAAGUUGAAAACCCGGAAGGGCGGCUUAGGCAAGAAUGAGCACCCCGCUGGAUUGAAAACCCGAAAGGGCAGUUCAGGCAAAAAUGGGGCAUUGAAAAGAAUUUAUUUCCCCGGUGGAUCGAAAACCCGAAAGGGCGAUCCAGGCAAAAAUGGGAUGCAAAAAAUGAAUGAAUGAAAUUGAGAAUAUAACAUGCAAAAAGCAUUGACCACAGAUGCAAUGUCUACAACAUGCCCAGCACAACGGCAUUUUCCCCAGUCAGGUCUUCCAAGAUUCUAUCUCCAGCAAGUUGCAUAUCUACCUGCCCUCAGCUAUGGUUCCGACACGUCUCCCAACGACGUCAUCUCCAAAGAGGAUUUCCAAGAAUGUGUAAUAUAGCACGAGCCACUACGUGCCCAAUACUCUAAUGUCUUGCCUUCCCCGUGAAGCCGUGCCUACAAACUGCCAACAGUCAUGCAUUACAAGCAUUCAUACAUGCAUAAUCAUGCAUAUUGCGUACCCAUGCAUUUAAUGAAACUGUUAUAUCAUCCAUGCAUAUCGCAUUUCCAAUGUCAACAUCAGUCUCAAUUUCUACCUUUCAAAUCAAAUCGACGUCAAGUCAAUCUCAAUCUAUAUUUUGUCAAACAAACUAAUCCCCAGUGAAUAUGUUUCUGUUUGGUCAAGUGGCUAGUUCAAGUCCAAGAACAGCUUGUACCUAUCAAUUUGCUUAUGUUAUCGGUCGAGUGCCCAGCUCAAUCCAAGAGCAGCUUGUACCUGUCAAUAUGUUUCCGUUUGGUCAAGUGACUAGCUCAAUCCAAGAGCAGCUUGUACCUAUCUAUCUGUUUGUCUCCGGUGGAGUAACCAGUUCGCAUCCAAGAACAAGCUCGCACCUGUCUAUUUGCCUUGCUUUCAGUCGAGUAACCAGUUCGAAUCCUUAAGAACAACUCGUACCUGCCAAUUUUACAUGUUUUCAGUCGAGUCACCAGUUCGAAUCCAUAAGAACAACUCGCACUUUCCAAUAUCCCCAAGUGAGUUACCAGUUCGAAUCCAUAAGAACAACUCGCACUUUCCAAUAUCCCCAAGUGAGUUACCAGUUCGAAUCCAUAAGAACAACUCAUGUUUGUCCAGUAACCUCUAUCCCCUGUGAAGUGACCAGUUCGAAUCCGUAAGAACAACUCGCAGUUGUCUGUUUGUUUCAUUCCCGGUCAAGUGGCUAGUUCGAAUCCAAGAGCAGCUUGUACCUGUCCAACUUGUUUCCAGUUUCCCGUUACUCUGCUAUUCACUAUCUUUGUCAAUGUCUACCAAUCCCGCAAUGGAUACGACAUAUUUUGUUAAUUCCAAUCCCCAUGAGGUCUUGCAUUCAUAAUCCAAAUGAUGCAUGGCAUGCAUAUUAUUUGAAAAUGGGAUAGGCGUAUUUUUACGUCCAAACACAGUGCAAAUUGCUAAUAUUUAAGUAUCUUCGUCCUGUCAAGCCAAAGACUCCGUCUCUUGACUGUCCAGACAAAGAAACUUAAAUAGGGGCAGGUGUUAUACCCUGUUUUUGGACCUAAAAAUACUGGGCCCAAUUUCAUUUCAAACUUUGUCAGUUAUCAAAUUUCAACUGCACAGUUCAAUUUGUCUCUGCCUCGCAGUAUUUUCCAUCACAAUUUUACCUAUGUUUUUCUUGCACAAAACUUUUCAAAAUGUCUUUACUUGUCUUGUAAGGCAUUCAAAAGUGUCUCUGAAUCAUUACAUUGCUUUUUCUACAGUUUAUUUCAAAAUUUGCAAAAAAGUCAUACAGAAGGGUAUUUUGGUCAUUUCCUGCAGUGGGACCCAUUUUCAUCCUUGUGACUGUCUCUGAGUCUUUUCAGAUUGUUUUUUAACAUUUCAUCAGUAAACCCUGUUAAAUUCAUUUCAAACUUGCGUCUGAGUCAGUGUUAAGUCAAUUUCAAUCUGUUUAGGUCAUUUUUAGCCCUAGGGGCAUUUUGGUCAUUUCACACAAAAUUUUGGCAUAGAGAGGUUACUUUGAAGUACCUCAUUUAGGCCGUUGGUUCGUUUUAGUCCGUUUUGUCAAUUUUAUUUUAGUUUCACUUUACGUUUUGUCAGGUUACCAAUUUUAUUCCAAUUUUAUUUUUUUAUUUUAUUUUACAUUUUGGUCCCCAAAGAGGUCCAAAAUUGCAUCCCAGUCCAAUUUUCUUUCCAAUUUACAUUUCAGUCCUUUUUGGUUAAUUGCAGUUUAGUCCUUAAAAUUCUUAUUUUUGCAGAAAGGUCCAAAUUUCAUUUUUUGUCCAAGGCCGUGCCAUUCUUUUUUUUCAGGUCCAGGUGUCACUUUCUCAUUUGUUCGGAAGCACACAUGUCAAGCUAUAAAAGGUGUACAGUGCCACACAGACCCAUUAAUCACACGCCAACUCAUAAACACAAUCAGAUUCUCUCUCUCCAUUCAGUUGGAUCAGAAACAGAAAAUUUCUCAGAAUUUCUCAAGAACACCAAGAACAAAAAACCCUAACCGUUUUCCAGAAACUCAAAAAUUCAUCAGAAUCAACAAUUUUCGCAUCAAUCCUCAGAGAUUCGUGUGAAUCUUCAUCACCGGAUUGAAGAAUUCUCCUACAAUUCAAAGUGCGAGCUCACAUUGAAGCAAGCUCAAGCACUGAUCAUAGGGAUUUUUCACGCAGAUUCAAGGAGUAUUGAAGCAAGCUCAAACACGAAAUCACAGAGAGAGAAGUAGAGGAAGAAUCAGAGAAGAUGAAGAAGCAGAACCGGUAAACCGAUUUAUUUUCGGUCCAAAAGCAAGCAAAAUCAUCAAAAUCAUCAAGAACAGAAUCAAAGUUUUCCAAAGAUUUCCUCCAUUAAAGGUUUCAACCAGAACCUUAGGUAAAACUCAUAAUCUCUUUUCAAGAAGUGUUAAUCAUAGUUUAAACCGGUAAAAAAAAUCACGCAAGCAAAACAGAUCCAAAAUUUCCAGAAUUCAAAGAAAACCGUAACCGUAAGCACGAAACCUAGAUCCGUAAGGAUCUAAGUUUUGAAAACAAGAACAAGCACCAGAGAAGCAGUAAACAACGAAACGAUGUAGAUCCGUGAAGAUCUAAACCUUUUCUUUCAAAAAAUCAAAGAAAAUCAAUUUUCAAAACCGUACGAAAUUUUCAGAUCUACAUCGCAUCAAGCUGUGUUUGGGAAAAUGAUUGCUGGAUUCGUGUUUAGGGUUAAAGGACGAAUCAAAAGACGUAAAAAUCUUUAAGUUCUGGAAAUUUUUCACCGGAAACUGCAUGAACUCACCGGAAACUGCAUGAACUCGCCGGAGAAGAUGAAGUUUCCGGCGGACCUUCAAGGUCUCCGCCGUAGCUUCAUCCUCGCCGGCGGCGAGGUUAGAGAGAGGUGGGAGAUGAGAGAAGAGAGAAGAAUUUAGAGAGAGAAAGGAAAGUGUGAAAUGAUUUAAACCGGUCCCCCUUCACUUUUAUAGCCAGUGAACCGGACCGGUCCAGAACCGGUCCAUUCCCCUUUGAUUCCUGGCCGUUUGAUCUAGGGUUUCAGGAUCCUGGAUCAAUCGUGUGGUUCCUGUGCAUCUGGACCUUGUAGUUUUGGGCUUUGGUUUGGGCUCAAGUUUCUUUUACGUUUUUUUUGCUUUUUUGCUACUUGCACCAUACUUGCCUGCUGUUUGCACCCUUUGUUCAUGUUAAUUUUUAUCAAUAAAUUCCAAGAAAUUUACCAUGUCAUUUUACUAUUUUUCUUGAUAAUUUUCAGUGGUAUUUUGCUUGGAAAAGUUGGUAAAAAUUUUAGUGUUGUUUUGUCAAGGGUUUUUACUAUUUUAAGUCACUUUUCUCGCAUUUUUACCUGUUACUUCAUGUGCAUAAUGUUCGUGUUCGUCAUGUUUGAUUUGCAUACUAUUCCAUAUGAAUUUUGCUACUGUUUGCUAUGCAUAUGUCACUGUUUUGAUGUGUUGAGUUUUGUUCUUGCAUCAUGUGCAUUAUUCAUUACAUGUUUCCGGCUUAUUUUCAUCGUCACUUUACCGUUUUAUGCCGUACUUUCUUCCAUCGCUUCAUGCCAUAUUCUUUCUUUUUUUACCAUUUUCUACUAACAUUUCCUUUCAUAUUGAUCACUUCAUAGCACUUCACCAUCUUCACUAUUGUCUCCAUUAGUUUAGUUUUCUUUUUUUGCAAAUUGUAAUUCAUUCGGUGAUGUAAUAUUUUACCAUUGGUUUGUAGCUUGGCAAAGGGGCCAUAGAAUGUAUUUAGGGAAUUUUUGUAAUAUGGACUAUGGACACUAUGACGCACUGGCACGCACACACUCACCUUAGAUGUAUGCAUAGGAUUGUAUGGUUAGAUAAGCGCUUAGGCUUAAACACUUAGAAAAAAAAUCAACUUUUCCAAGACAUGCAAAUAACCUCACUUGAAAACUUUUUAAGAAAAAAAUAAAAUGGAGUCAAAACUCCAAUAACUUUUCCCUUUUAUUUUCUUAAGUAAAAUUUUCAAUAAAUCCUAAUCCUCCUUGGACUUUACUUUUGCAAAAUGACUAAUUCCACCUCACACUUUCCAAAUCUUAUGCCCUUGAGGCCUCUCAUCUCUAUUCUUCAAAAUCUCUUUUCAAACUUAAAAUCAACCAACAAAAACAAAAACCAUUUUUGAGAAUGAACUACGAACGGUUUUGAUCCCUUAAAAGGGUACGUAGGCAAUGAGUCAAAACUCAUCCAAGCCGAAGUAAAAAUCAAAUUCUGCUUCUUCUCACCCCCAUUCUUCACUAAUCAUACCUCCCCUUUUUUUACAAAUAAGCAAUAAAAUUAAAGCGUAGAAAUAGACUUAGGAGAGCGGUUCUUAUGGAAUACCAUAAUCGCUCCGGGUGCCUAACACCUUCCCGUAGCGAAAACGACCCCCGAAUCUAGAACUUUUUAAGGGUUUUUCUCCUUUUACCCUUCCCAAGAAAAAAGAGAGAUAUCGACGGUCAAAAGGUUCAAGUCCAAUUAAUGGCUUGGCACCCAAAAACCAUGAUAACACCAGGCCACCGUUGUCGUCGUCAAUUUCACCUCCUUAUUGUUCACACAGACUAACCUGAAGCCACAGAGGAAGCCACCCACUUAACCCUAUCAUCAAAUGAAUCCGACCCACAACCCGACCCGAAUACCCUGUCCGAAACCGAACCAGCCCAAAUAAGCCUACAUGCCUUAAUGGGCCAUUCUAUCCCACAAACCCUACGAAUCACUGGACACAUCAACAAAAAACCCGUUAACAUACUCAUUGACAGUGGUAGCACCCACAAUUUCCUGCAAGACAGAAUAGCCAAGCAUCUGGGUCUCCAACUACAACCAGCUCCACAAUUCCAAGUUUUGGUAGGUAAUGGAGAGGAACUGAAAUGUACAGCUAUGUGUUCCAAGGUACAAUUGAUGCUAGGUCCUCAUGAAUUCUCAAUAGAAUUGUUUGUUUUACCACUGAGUGGUGCUGAACUUGUACUUGGGGUUCAGUGGCUGAAAACGCUGGGCCCAAUUGUCACGGAUUACAACCAACUUACUAUGAGCUUCAUUAAAAAUGGCCACCACAUCCUUUUAUCUGGGGAACCAAAACCAGCGCCUGAAGAGGCCUCCCUUCACCAACUCCAAAGACUAGUAAACACUGAUGCCAUUGAUACAUUAAUUCAACUCCAGAAAAUUACCCCCACCACACCAUCCACACCAUCUGAACAUUCAGAUGCUCGUAUCAACACCCUCCUCAAAGAAUAUUCUACUCUAUUUGCAACCCCUCACACUUUACCUCCACCACGCCCCAUUGACCACAAAAUCCCACUAAUUGACAACAAUCAGAUUGCCAAUGUUCGUCCCUACCGUUACCCUCACUUUCAAAAGAAAGAAAUUGAAACCCAAAUCCGUGACAUGCUGGCUAAUGGUAUCGUUCAACAGAAUUCUAGUCCUUUUCCUCACCGGUCCUCCUUGUCCGGAAAAAGGAUGGCUCUUGGCGAUUUUGUGUUGAUUAUAGAGCUCUUAAUGCUCUGAUUGUGAAGGACCGUUUUCCGAUACCGGCAAUCGAUGAAUUACUUGAUGAAUUGCACGGUACACGUUGGUUCUCCAAGCUUGACCUCCGCUCCGGGUACCAUCAGAUUCGAAUGGCUCCCCAAGACACUCACAAAACAGCUUUUCGUACACAUCAAGGUCACUACGAGUUCCUUGUCAUGCCAUUUGGACUCUCCAAUGCACCCUCUACCUUCCAAUCCGAAAUGAAUCUGAUCUUUCAGCCAUAUCUCCGACAGUUCGUCAUUGUCUUCUUCGAUGAUAUUCUAGUUUAUAGUCAUACACUAGAGGAUCACAUUCAUCAUUUAGAGGUGGUAUAUGGUUGUCUUGUCGAAAAUCAGUUCUGUCUCAAGUAUUCAAAAUGCUCAUUUGCUCAAAAUUCCAUUGUCUACCUAGGACAUGUGAUUUCGGACUCAGGUGUCGGACCUGACCCCGAAAAGAUUCGGGCUAUGGUGGAGUGGCCUCAACCUCGAUCAGUCAAGCACCUCAGAGGUUUCCUUGGUUUAACCGGAUUUUAUCGCAAAUUUGUGCGCAACUACGCUGCCAUCGCAGCACCUCUCACCGACUUACUAAAGAAAGACGCCUUUCUUUGGACUUAAUCGGCCCAAAAAGCUUUUGACACAUUGAAGCAAGCAAUGACCGAAGCACCGGUACUCACUCUCCCAAAUUUUUCUAAACCAUUUAUACUAGAAACUGGCGCUUCAGGCUCAGGCAUGGGAGCAGUUUUAAUUCAAGAAGGUCACCCAAUCUGUUUUUUUAGCAAACAGUUCUGUCCAAGGAUGUUAGCAGCUUCUACAUAUGUUAGAGAGCUCUGCGCCAUUACAUCUGCAGUAAAAAAGUGGCGUACGUAUCUUCUUGGGAACAAAUUUGUGAUACACACGGAUCAAAGGAGUCUAAGGGAGCUAAUGACCCAGGUGAUUCAGACACCUGAACAACAACUUUACUUGGCAAAGUUGUUAGGGUACUCAUAUGAGAUCAUGUACAAAGUCAUAGUCACAUCUGUUAAGAUAAGGCUUCAAUAGUACUAGUGUGCCAGUCUGUUAGAAUAUGCUCUUUCUCUAACAAAGGGAAAGGACUAUAUAAUGUAUUAUUGACCCAAUAAAUAAAACAGAUGAGUAUUGAAGAAAGUUGUUUUUAGUUAUUACUUCUUUUUCCUUUUCCUUAUUCUCUGAUCUUGUUCUGCUUAACAAAUUCACCAUCUUACAGUUUGCUCUCUAACCACUCCUGAAGAAGCAUGUGAAGCGUCCGGCGUCAUAUCUGAACAUCAAUAAUAUUUUCUCAUGA